rnacentral:lncRNA from 1 species
AAAUCAUAUCGUCUGAAAAGUCCAAGAUGAAUUUUCUCUCUCUAAAACUAUUUCUCUCUCUCUUGAUUGAUUUCUCUCUCUAAAAAGAUGUAUCAAGAAGGAAUUUUUUUUAAUAUUUUUUAUCUGAUUUUAAUGAAGAAUCUUGAUCCAUGAUUGUCGGGCAGCGUGCUGGUGCUCGUCUUGAUCAGAUUGGAUAUUUCUCAAUUUGAUAAUCCAUGAUUUCGAUUUAACCAUGACUUGAUUAGAUUAUUUUGAUCACAUCAAUCGAGAUGUUGGAUAAUGGCACCUGAUUAAUUUGGAUUGUAUCUCAUGAAUUCUCUCUCCUUUGAUUUUCUCUCUCCACUUGAUUCAUGAACCCAAUGAAGGAACCUCGGUCUUAUCACUUCGAAUCCAAUUUGAUCUGAUAGUCAAACUUUGGAUCGUUUAUGUCUUAAUUAGAUUUUGAUUAGAUGAAAUUAGAUGAUUGGACCAAUCUAGAUGAUAGGAUACGGGUGUCUAUCAAUUUUAUUUUUUUUAAUUAUUUCGAUCCUUUCUAAUUAUUGAAAUCAAUCC